AGCGAACGCUGGCGGCAGGCCUAACACAUGCAAGUCGAACGAACCUUUCGGGGUUAGUGGCGGACGGGUGAGUAACACGUGGGAACGUGCCUUUAGGUUCGGAAUAACUCAGGGAAACUUGUGCUAAUACCGAAUGUGCCCUUCGGGGGAAAGAUUUAUCGCCUUUAGAGCGGCCCGCGUCUGAUUAGCUAGUUGGUUGAGGUAAUGGCUCACCAAGGCGACGAUCAGUAGCUGGUCUGAGAGGAUGAUCAGCCACAUUGGGACUGAGACACGGCCCAAACUCCUACGGGAGGCAGCAGUGGGGAAUCGUGCGCAAUGGGCGAAAGCCUGACGCAGCCAUGCCGCGUGAAUGAUGAAGGUCUUAGGAUUGUAAAAUUCUUUCACCGGGGACGAUAAUGACGGUACCCGGUGAAGAAGCCCCGGCUAACUUCGUG
rnacentral:rRNA from 1 species